rnacentral:rRNA from 1 species
GAUGAACGCUGGCGGCGUGCUUAACACAUGCAAGUCGAACGAAGUGGAGAACGGGUGAGUAAUACGUGGGUAACCCGCACUCCUUUCUGGGAUAAGCCCUGGAAACGGGGUCUAAUACCGCAUAAAGGGGGAGGGGGCCGCGGCCUAUCAGCUUGGUGGUGGGGUGAUGGCCUAACAAGGCGGUGACGGGGUGACGGCCUGAGAGGGUGAACGGCAACGUAGGAACUGGGACUCGUCCCAGCGGCCUACGGGGUGCAGCAUUGGGGGAUAGUGCGCAAUGGGCGAAAGACUGAUGCAGCGACGCCGCGUGGGGUAUGCGGGCUUUCGGGUUGUUAAACACUUUCGCUAUCGAACGGGUAGGUGGAGAAGAAGCGCCGGCUAACUACGUGCCAGCAGCCGCGGUAAUAC